GAUGAACGCUGGCGGCGUGCCUAAUACAUGCAAGUCGAGCGAACAGAUAAGGAGCUUGCUCCUUUGACGUUAGCGGCGGACGGGUGAGUAACACGUGGGUAACCUACCUAUAAGACUGGAAUAACUCCGGGAAACCGGGGCUAGUGCAGGAUAACAUGUUGAACCGCAUGGUUCUACAGUGAAAGGCGGCUUUGCUGUCACUUAUAGAUGGACCCGCGCCGUAUUAGCUAGUUGGUGAGGUAACGGCUCACCAAGGCAACGAUACGUAGCCGACCUGAGAGGGUGGUCGGCCACACUGGAACUGAGACACGGUCCAGACUCCUACGGGAGGCAGCAGUAGGGAAUCUUCCGCAAUGGGCGAAAGCCUGACGGAGCAACGCCGCGUGAGUGAUGAAGGUCUUCGGAUCGUAAAACUCUGUUAUUAGGGAAGAACAAAUGCGUAAGUAACUGUGCGCGUCUUGACGGUACCUAAUCAGAAAGCCACGGCUAACUACGUG
rnacentral:rRNA from 1 species